CCUACGGGAGGCAGCAGUGGGGAAUAUUGGGCAAUGGGCGCAAGCCUGACCCAGCAACGCCGCGUGAAGGAAGAAGGCUUUCGGGUUGUAAACUUCUUUUACCAGGGACGAACAAAUGACGGUACCUGGAGAAAAAGCAACGGCUAACUACGUGCCAGCAGCCGCGGUAAUA
rnacentral:rRNA from 1 species